UCCUCUCCCUGGGCGAAAAAUCUUGCUUUUCUUUGUUUAAAUCUUUGAGCAUUCGAUGCGUAAACUUGGCCGAAGCAACCGAAGCCGGGGGACCUAGGUGGGAAUAGUGAAAGAGAAGGGGACCUGCAACAAAAUUCAACUAAGCUAGGAAAAAGCCUGACUGAACCUUCUUCUGAUGCAUGUCUCUGUUUUGCUGGCCAUUUCAACUCUCAUCAAUUUGCAUGGUUUUUGUCCUUCUACUAGGUUAGCAACGAUCCCCUGCAUUGCCAUAACAUAUAUUUUUGGAGAGCGACAUGGGUGGAACAGAAGAAGCCAAGAGCGAGAAGAAGGACAAGUGCCCGAAGGAGGACAAGCACAAGGAUGCUGAACAUGGAAAAGAGGAGAAAAAGGAGAAAAAGAAGGGCAAGGAGUGCAAGAAGGAAAAGAACCCUGAAGACAAGAAUGACCCGCAAAAGCUGAGGCAGAAGCUCGAGAAGGUCGAUGCCAAGAUGCAGGCUCUGGCAGCGAAACGAGAAGAGAUUCUGAAGUCGAUUCAGGAAGCCGAGCAGAAGGCCAAGGCUGCCGGUGGGGAAGCCAUGCCGGCCGCAAUCUCUUAACACGCAUCUCAAGGCCAGAUGGAGACGCCGAUGCAUAAGGUGUACAGAACUUGAUUGAGAGGAAGAACAAAAUACCUGCAUAACUGGUUUAGGAACGGCUUUCAGACUCAUUGCUCCUUACAGCGGCAAAGUAAGAGCUCUCAGUUUCUUACCAAGUUUGAUCUUUUCCAUUCUCACUAAUUUCGACAUCAAUGCCUAGCAUUGGCGAGAAUAGAAGUAUCCCAUUAUAUUUCCACUUACA